UAACAUAUCCUGGAUGAGAGGUGGUGUC
rnacentral:piRNA from 1 species